rnacentral:lncRNA from 1 species
UUCCCUUGGCAGGAUAUACUCCUUCCCCCGCUGCCCCCAUGUGACAAGUGUAUUCUUACUCGUCCCUCAGAAUGCCAUCCAUCUUAGACCUCCUGGGCCACCAUAAAAGAAUACCACAGACUGAUCUGCUUAAAUAACAUUUUUUUUUUUUUUCUCACAGUGCUGGAUGCAGAAAGUCCAAGAUCAAGAUGCCAGUGGGAUUGGUUUCUGGGCUACUUGAAGGGGCACCAAAAAAUCAUGAGCCCAGGACAGGACAGAGGUGGAACUUAUUCUCCAGGUGCUCUACUUUGAAGUCAAGGACAUCUUACCAUCAUCCUGGAGAGCUGGAUCCUCCCAGAGUGAGUAAAAUCCUAGAGAGGCAAGGGUGAAGUCAAAUGAAGAAGAAAAGAGGAACGAGGCAGGUAAGGAGAGAACAUAUUCACAAGGUGGCGCGUUACAGAAGUAAGCACAGUGUUGCAAUACAACAAAGCCAGUUGUUCAGUCAUGUGAGGGAAAACUGAUCUGUCAUAAAUCACUGAGUCAGGACAAGAUAGAUGAGCAAUUUUUCUGUGGCUCCUUCUACACUCCUGUCUUCCAUCGGUCAAGUCACUUACUCC